AUUAUUUUUAAAUUUCUCGACUUUUGUUCUUCUUCACAUUAUCCAUCCAUCUGUUUCUCCAAUAUCAGUCUCUUUUAUCUCUACAAUUGUUCUUUCUUGCUACAGUAUGAAGCAUUUCUGUUCAAUUCAAGGCUGUGUACCCAGAAUGGAAUUUGGGUGUUUAAGACAUUGUCUUGAGCAAAAUCUCAGUCUUUCUUGGAACUUAAAGGCAUGGAAUUUGGGAGGUUUGACCACAAUUUCACAUUUCCAGAGACUUGCUUAUCCUAUUGCGUCAGCUUCUACUCAAAAGUAUUACAAGAACAGUUUGCUCUUGAAGAGAUUUUUAGUUGGUGUUGGCACAGAGGAAUCCUCGUUGUCGGAAGAUUCACUUGACGACUCUGUUUCUCGACCUCUCAGUAGUGACGAGUUGAAGUCAUUGCUUAUCGACAACGAGAGAUCGAAGCUUGUUAAGAAACUGAGUGAAGCUAAUCAACAUAACCGGUUCCUCAAGCGUCAGCUUAAAACACAAGAGGACGAGAUAGCUAACAUCAAAAGCGAGCUUGCAGUUAUGGAGCUUGAAGUUCAGGCUUUGGUAAGACUGGCGGAAGAAAUAGCAAACCUCGGUAUUCCACAAGGUUCUAGAAAAAUCAGCGGGAAGUACAUUCAAUCACACCUUCUCUCUCGUUUAGAAGCUGUCGAAAAGAAACUGAAGGAACAAAUCAAAGACGUUGAAGCUGCACAGUCAAAAGAGGUUCAUGUGUUCUGGAUCGGUAUGGCAGAGAGUGUCCAAGUGAUGGGAUCAUUUGAUGGAUGGAGCCAACGUGAGGAUUUAUCGCCUGAGUACACAGCUUCAUUCACUAAAUUCUCCACCACUUUGAUCCUUCGUCCCGGGAGGUAUGAGAUGAAGUUCUUAGUGGAUGGAGAAUGGCAGAUCUCGCCUGAGUUUCCUACUUCCGGAGAAGGAAUGAUGGAGAACAAUGUUUUAGUGGUGGAAUAGCCACUCAUCUCUCUGCAAACACACAUUUAGGGAACAGUAUAUAUAGGUGGGAGAGAGAACACAUUAAGGAGAUCUUUUGGAUCAUUAGUGACUCUAAAACAAAUAUCUGUUUUCCUCAUCCUAUGAGCUCCAUAGAAGAAUUAUUUGCAACAUUAGAUUCAUGAUCCUCAUUGAUGGAAUGUGUGAGUGACUUACAAUAACAUCAGGACAAAAUUUGUAUUUUAUUGCUCUUAUUGCUUUAGUUAGGCACAGGUAUAAGAUCUACAAGGUCAAUACAGAAGAAAUCUCAACAAGGGAAGAGACAAAAGGAAGGAUCUAAAUGUAACCUUCUAUUCACAAAGCUAAUCUUG